rnacentral:rRNA from 1 species
GACGAACGCUGGCGGCGUGCUUAACACAUGCAAGUCGUACGGUAAGGCCCGUUCGUGGGUACACGAGUGGCGAACGGGGAAGUAAGACGUGAGUAACCUGCCCACAACUUUAGGAUAACGCUAACAAACUGGUACUGAUGCUAGAUAUGGGCUCCUUCUUCAUGGGGGGGGUUGGAAAGCUCCGGCGGUUAUGGAUGUACUCGCUGCCUAUCAGCUUGUUGGUGGGGCAGUGGCUUACCAAGGCGGCUACGGGUAGCCGGCCUGUGAGGGUGACCGGCGACACUGGCUCUGAGAUAAGGCACAGACUGCUAAGCGACGGAGAAGUGGGGAAGCUUGAACGAUGGGCGCCAGCCGGAUGAAGAAGCGCCGCGUGUGGGAUGACGCUGUUAGGGUUGUAAACCGAUUUCAGAAGGGACGAAGCUCUUUGUGACGGUACCUGAAGAAGAAGCAACGGCUAACUACGUG